AAUUUGAUAUAAUGCUUUGGUUAUGGGUGAAAUGUGCAAAGUUUACAAAAUAAGCAAGUGGUUAUAAAAUAUUCAUUAUUGUCGGGGAAUAUUCGUUUGGUCAUGGAAUAUUCUUUUUGUCGGGAAUCUCCGUACGACGGCGCAGUCAUUUGUGGGCCCCAUAACGAAAAACGGUUGGAUGAAGGAAAACGACAAAGAUUGAG
rnacentral:lncRNA from 1 species